UACGAAGGGGGCUAGCGUUGUUCGGAUUUACUGGGCGUAAAGCGCACGUAGGCGGAUCGUUAAGUCGGGGGUGAAAUCCUGGAGCUCAACUCCAGAACUGCCUUCGAUACUGGCGAUCUCGAGUCCGGAAGAGGUGAGUGGAACUCCUAGUGUAGAGGUGGAAUUCGUAGAUAUUCGGAAGAACACCAGUGGCGAAGGCGACUUACUGGACACAUAUUGACGCUGAGGUGCGAAAGCGUGGGGAGCAAACAGG
rnacentral:rRNA from 1 species